UACGUAGGGUGCAAGCGUUAAUCGGAAUACUGGGCGUAAAGCGUGCGCAGGCGGUUUUGUAAGUCUGUCGUGAAAGCCCCGGGCUCAACCUGGGAAUUGCGAUGGAGACUGCAAGGCUUGAAUCUGGCAGAGGGGGGUAGAAUUCCACGUGUAGCAGUGAAAUGCGUAGAGAUGUGGAGGAACACCGAUGGCGAAGGCAGCCCCCUGGGUCAAUACUGACGCUCAUGCACGAAAGCGUGGGGAGC
rnacentral:rRNA from 1 species